rnacentral:lncRNA from 1 species
AGACCACAAAUAUAUAUAUAUAUAUAUAUAUAUAUAUUUUAUAUAUAUUAUUACAUCUAUUACCGCGUCGAGACUUGCUUUCAUUUGGUACAAUCGCGUAUGACAAAAUGGCGGACGCGGCAGCUUUUCUCUUUACGGUGUUACAAAAAAUAAAAAGUAAUCCAACGACAUCAGACGAAGAAUGAGCGGUCACAAUUUUUGCAAUUGUACUACCAGCGUGACGUUACUAUGAUUAAACAUUUGGUAACUUUCUUUUUUCCCAACGGAUUCCAAAUAUUUUCAUAUUUUAAUAUAUAUACAUGGUGAUUCUGAAAAGAAAACAAGUGGAGAUGCCGGCCGUAGGUUUUCAGAGGGACGCGCCCACGCGUCGUUCCGCUAUUCACGUUCCCCUCCAUUCCUUCGUUCGUUAGCGUGGAACAGGCAUAUAAAAUGGCGGGCUUUGGGUUAUACUUAUUAAUUCUAUAUAUACAUUCAAUAUAUAUCAAAUUAUUUUUCUUUUCUCAUUUAUAACACGCUUGGGCAUAUCCUUUGCGUAUUUUAUCACGUUUUACAUUGAGUUUCGUUCCUAUAAAAAAAGAACAUUUCUUUAGAUUUUUUUAAUUCCAUCUCUUUUACUACAGUCGAUUUACUACAUUCAUGUUUAUCGAUUCGAGAGUAAUAUAUAUAUUUGUCUAUAUAUAAUUAUUAUCGAUUCAAAAGAGUAAGUGUAUAAAAGAAAUGAAACACAUCAAAUUUUCUCUUAUUUAUUGAAAAUAGAUUAAUCAAGGAUGCUGUUGUUGUAUUUCCUGUAAGAUAUCUUUUGAGAGAUAUUAAUUUAAUUUUAUCAAUCAAAUUUAUGUAUAUCAUAAGAAUUUGUCUCUCUUUUGCUCUUUAUCUCUCAGUUAGCUACGUAGCAGCACCUUUGUUGCCUUUACUCCCUUUUUCAGCGUAACGAGAACUCGAGCUGGAUGAUUUAAGUCACACCGGAUUCGUCUGUAAUUAGUCUGAUGUGUAACGAUUUUUUAUCGGAUUCUUGAUCUAUCAUUUUGGACUUCUUGAUACUAAGGAAUCGACUCCUUGUUUUUUCUCUUUUUUUCUCUUUUUUUUCUUUUACCAUCCUUACAGCCUUGGAUUAUCGCAAACUCUUGCUCAUAGUUUGGGGUAUGUUUUUUGAGAAAAAAAAAUGGGUAAGCAUUAUUAGAUUAAAUGUAGAGAUGUAUAAAAGUUCAUUUGGGAAAGCGAAUGUAACCUGCAAAUUUUAAAGUAGCAUUUACGUGAUAGAUGAUUCUGUUUUUGAGACUGCAUAAAUAUUUCAUGGUAUUUUGAGGGUGAUAAAUUUUUGGUUUAUAAAUUUGAAGGUAUACUUUCUCUUACCCAUGCGGUAGGUGUUCAGGGAUGAGAACUCAAUGUAGAAUGCGAAGAAAAUCAAUGACCGAAAGCCGUUACUCCACUGUUUUGUUUUUCUUAUUAGUCAAUUUCAAAGUCGAAGUAAAAUAUAAUGCAUGAUGAGACAAUAAGAUAUAUAAGGUAAAUAUAAUGCGUAAUGAUGAUAAGUCUUAGUUGUAAAUUUUUUUAUUGUGCUGUUGUUGCGAGGUAUAAGUUUAUUUGAAAAUUUUUUAUAACUUUGUGUAAACUCCUUAUUUCUGCUCUCCUACCUACUUAAUUAAUUCUCUAUUAUAGUUCUGUGAUAAUUCUAAUAAAGAAAAUUUGUGAUUCUAUUAUUGAUGAUUCAAGUUUGUAAACGCAAAUAAUGAUUGUAAUGUUUUUAUAGAGUGUUAACUUUUAAAUACGUUUUUGGACAGCCGAGAAUCUUCCUCGUACAUUCAUUGCAGCAGAAUUCUGGUUAGUCAAUUGUUAACGAUUGACAAUAAUGUACGAUAUCCUGGGAUCUGAGAACCAAACCGUGAAGACUUAUGAAUGACUUUUGAGUCUGAAUUUUGUGAGAAGUCAACGUCAAGUUCAAGUCCGUCAUGUUUCGUCACUACACAAGCACUGGAAGUCGAGUCAAUUGCGUCAGAUCAAUAAGUCUCGCACAGACACACUUGCCUGCUGGAACACGCGUAGAGUAAAUUCUGAUAUGAUGUCAAUCCUGUUUGGGCGUGAUAAAGCACAAUUUUAGGAAUCGAUAAACAAAUGAAAAAAAUGCCAUUAACUCCGUUUAUGUGGCUUGGUCUGCAGGUGGCAAACGACCCAGUGCGAUUAUGGCGGGCGGCUCGCAACCGGCUAACCGUGACCCGACCGACAACUGAUAAGCGGCGAGUGACUGGUGCCUACGGUAUUUAUCACCAGCCCUAGAUGAUUUAUGAAAGAUCAUUAUCUAAGUAAAAAGAAACAAAA